CACGUAGGGCGCAAGCGUUGUCCGGAAUUAUUGGGCGUAAAGAGCUCGUAGGCGGUCUGUUGCGUCCGCUGUGAAAACUCGGGGCUUAACCCCGAGCCUGCAGUGGAUACGGGCAGACUAGAGGUAGGUAGGGGAGAAUGGAAUUCCCGGUGUAGCGGUGAAAUGCGCAGAUAUCGGGAGGAACACCAGUGGCGAAGGCGGUUGCCUGGGGCUUUGCUGACGCUGAUGCGCGAAAGCGUGGGGAGCGAUCCGG
rnacentral:rRNA from 1 species